rnacentral:rRNA from 1 species
AAAUUGAAGAGUUUGAUCAUGGCUCAGAUUGAACGCUGGCGGCAGGCCUAACACAUGCAAGUCGAACGGUAACAGGAAGCAGCUUGCUGCUUCGCUGACGAGUGGCGGACGGGUGAGUAAUGUCUGGGAAACUGCCUGAUGGAGGGGGAUAACUGCUGGAAACGGUAGCUAAUACCGCAUAAUGUCGCAAGACCAAAGAGGGGGACC